AUAAUUCCCAAAACUCAUUAUUGGGAGUGAAGGCCUUCACUUCCAUCCUUCUGUCAUAGUGGGAAUGUCCCCCAACCCAAACCCUAUCCCACCCUCAUUCCCUACCAAAUAGGGGCUGUGGAAAUCAGUCAGUGUAGAUUAUUUUUUGGCUCCUUAGUCCUAGUCUCACCCUUAAGGUGGCGUCUCUAGCCAUGGACAGUCUCUGCCGUGGAGUGUUUGCAGGCAACAGCCGUGAGCUCAGCAUCAGGUCCUGCUUUCCCAGUCUCUUCCAAGCUGAGCAAACCCAUCGUUCCAUAUUACUGGGCCUGCUGCUGGGGUCAGGGCGGACCCCACAGCCAGACUCAGCACUCAUUCGCCAGGCCUUGGCUGAGCGCUGGAGCCAGUGGUCACUUCGUGGAGGUCUAGAGAUGUUGCCUCAGGCCCUUGAAACCCACCUGACUAGUAGGGGGGUCAGUGUUCUCAGAGGCCAGCCGGUCUGUGGGCUCAGCCUCCAGGCAGAAGGGCGCUGGAAGGUAGGGGAACCCCUGGAGUGUAAUGAACCUGUCAGUGUUUCCAUCUUUAUCCAAGUAGUUUAGGCCAGGGCCGAUAGGACUGGAGUUCCUCAUUGUUUUUGUGCCUUAGAAGCUACUUAGACAUGGGCUACCCCAGAAUCCUAGGCCCUAUUUGUGAACCUUCCUCAAAGAGCCUAUGCAAGUCUGUGGAUAGAAGUAGUACUUAUAAGUGGCUUAGAGGUAGGGGAAAGAACCCAGCUUCACUGAACAUUUCAGAACAGCCACACUGGCCUGUCUGGUCCACUUCCUGGAGUACACAGACGAAUGAUUUUUUGUGACGUCUACAUAGUCACCCAAUCUCUUCAUCCGGGGUCAGUACACAGUCUCCCUGGCCACAUGGGUGCCUGGGAAACUGAGAGUGAAGUCUAUUUUCACUCAUCAAAUUCUCACUUUCUGGGUCUCUCAAAUGUUUUCAUGCUCUCAGGUAUCUCUAAGGGACAGCAGUCUGGAGGCUGACCACGUUAUUAGUGCCAUUCCAGCUUCAGGUAAUGGGAUAGCCACCUUCCCCUUCCCCAACCCCUACCAGUGAGAGGCAAAAGCUGUACCUUCCUGGGUCAGCAGGACCACACCAUGCCCCUGAACUGGUCAUCUCUAUGGGAGUCUAA
rnacentral:sRNA from 1 species